AACAAGGCGUACCUGCGGACCUGCGGAGGGAUCAUUACCGAGUGUGAACCCCCCCGUAAAAAAGAGGGGUUACCUCCCGUCCUUUGCUGGGAACCCCUUUCCAACUUGGAAGGAGGUUGUUUUCAGACCCUUCUGCUUCGGUGGGGUAACCCACCGGAACAACCUCAAAAAUAUUCUCAAUUCAAAGCCGUUCAGUCCGAGAACUUUUUUGAAAAGCGAAAAAACUUUUAACAAUGGAUC
rnacentral:misc_RNA from 1 species